rnacentral:sRNA from 12 species
AGCGCUGCCGGCGCUAUAUAAGGGAAAGCGAUUGUCAUAGUUUCGCCUACGGUUUUGAAUAGCCGACGCUAUAGAAUAUUCAUGGUUUAUGUUUCGUACCUAUUUUAAGAAGCAUAUUCCAUAAAUGGUAGAAGAAGUUACGACGCCAGUACCGCCGGCGAUUGAAAGAGCGGACGAAUGAGUAACAAAGGGUAAGGUUAAAUCGCUAGACUUAGAUUCUAGUAACGGCGCAAGUCGUGGGAUUACAUAGGUACAUCGGUAACGAUGUAAUUAGUAGGGCAAAUUGGAUUUAGACGCUAAAUAAUAUGUACGGUAGUAGAAUACCGGCUAUAAAUA